rnacentral:rRNA from 1 species
AAUAUUGCACAAUGGGCGAAAGCCUGAUGCAGCAACGCCGCGUGAGUGAUGAAGGCCUUCGGGUCGUAAAGCACUUUUGUCAGGGAAGAAAAGGUUCUGGCUAAUACCCGGAACUUAUGACGGUACCUGAAGAAUAAGCACCGGCUCACUACGCGCCAGCAGCCGCGGUAAUACGUAGGGUGCAAGCGUUAAUCGGAAUUACUGGGCGUAAAGCGUGCGCAGGCGGUUCGGAAAGAAGGAUGUGAAAUCCCAGGGCUCAACCUUGGAACUGCAUUCUUAACUACCGAACUAGAGUAUGUCAGAGGGGGGUAGAAUUCCGCGUGUAGCAGUGAAAUGCGUAGAUAUGCGGAGGAAUACCGAUGGCGAAGGCAGCCCCCUGGGAUAAUACUGACGCUCAUGCACGAAGGCGUGGGUAGCAAACAGG